rnacentral:lncRNA from 1 species
GAAAAUGUCCUCCCUUCUUCCACCCAAGUGUCAACGACUUCCCCAAUCCUUCUACAAUAGCCUAACUUUUGGGAAAACUUCUCUUCGUGUUGGUUGGACAGAAAAAGCGGCGGAAAUGAAAAAGGGGGAGGGUGAACAACUAAUCCAGUGUUGUUUACAAAGAGCGGACAGGCGAGGAAUCAGUCCGCGAAGGCGGAGCUGAGGCAGCCGGCACUUCUUCCUGUCUUCCCCUCCCUCCCCAGCCUUCCCCGCGAGCGGACGCGGCAGCGCCUCUGUCUCGCUUUUUCUUAUUUUUCCCCCUUUCCCCUUUCUUUUCUUUUCUUUUUCCCCUUCCCCCCCCUUUCACCAUUUCCCCUCGGAGGCGCUUCCCCCGGGCAGGGGCAGAGCCGGUCUCACCCCCCGCCUCUCCCCGGCCCCCGCCGCCCUAUGGCGAGAGGGAGCCCCCUCCUCACCCAGGCACCAGCGGCGGCGGUUGGAGGAGCGGGACCGGCGGUGGCGGCCUCAGGUCCGGGGUGGUCAUGGAACUAAUUCGCUGACCGACCUUCUGGCCGCAGCCGUGCGUCCCGCUCGAGCGCCAGCUACCGCGCCCCCCCAACCCCGCCGGGUUCCUUCUCUUCUCCCUCCUCUGUCGGCCCGGUCCUAGUCCUGCGCGCCCCCGCCGCUGCGCGAGAGGAAAAUGAGGUGGUAACGGGCCUGCGGAUGACCCCGCGUCACCACUUUGAGGCCUACAGCUCUGCCGGGGAGGAGGAGGAGGAGGAAGAGGAGGAGAAGGUGAGGGGCGGGGGCGGGGGGCUCGACGCGUGUCGGUGACCGCCGCCCGCGCGCUACGCCCCUGUUGCCCAAGCGGAGGCGCCCGGCGGCGCGCUGCUCGCCUGACCUGCCAAGCACGGUCCCCCUCUGGAGGAACCUAGGGACGACCCCUCGCUCUCUCCCCGAAGUAUCCCGGUACCUCCUGGGUUUUGAAACAAUGUGCGGGGUUCCCUUUCGGGCCAGUUUUUCAGUUAGCAAGUAACUUUUUAGUAGUAACAGCACAUUCGCUGCUCGGCCGUUUGAGUUCCAGGCUCCGCACGUCUGUAUCAUUACACAAAGGGGACACACCCCCACCUUCACACUCGACGGAUCUUUUCUCGACUGCCCCUAGAUAACGUGGGUUUCAGAGCCGAGUCAGUGGGGAGGACUGCCAGGACGCAAAUUUGCGAGAGGGAAGCGUUACCCAGGCUUGGGCCGGUGGGGGAGCCCGUAGAGGUGAGAAUUGAGUUGCACCCUGAACUAGGGGUUAAAAGUACCAAAUUUGGAGAAGAGGGCCAAAGGCCCUCUACCGGAGGAAGGGGUCCCGUUGCAGACCAUUUCGGCAAAAAUUGAGAAUUAGGAAGCAAAAUAGUGAAAGCAUAACCCGUCAAGAAGUAGGAUGGAUUCAGACCGAAGGUCUGUCUUUGUCAGGUUAAAGGAUUUCAAUUGUCUUCUGCCACUCAGUGUUUCAUCAGCAUUUGUAGAUGAGACUUAUCUGCCAGGCACUGUUUGUUCUUCAUUCUCACAAAGACUCCACCCAGGUGAUACGAGACUCAUUUUACAGAUGAGAAAAACUGAGACUCCACAAGAUUUGCUUCCUUUUAGAUAACAGCGAGAACCCGCUAGCCAGAGUUUAGUCUGAAUCUUAGGCUCUAACGUCUCCAUCCUGAAAAUGAAUUUGUUGAAAAGAUUAGUAGGAGUCUUAUUUGCUUCUAGUUUUUCCAGGUCAUUUGUGAUAGAAAGGAACAGACAAACUAAGAAAGAAUGGACAGGGUUUAAAUUAGUUAAACUAGGACUAGAAUAAUGAGAAAAGAAUGCCAUUCCCUUGGACCAGGAAAAGUUAAAUACUGAAUGUAAGGAUAGACUAUUAGAAUCAGCAUAGGUUGGGAAGGUAUAAUAGAAAUGAACUGGAGUUAACAGGUAAAUAUUGUAUGUGGUAGUGUGACGUUCUAGUAGGUUUCAGUGGAACUCUUUCAUAUCUUGGUCAAGAUUGGAAGCAAGAUUGUAUGUAUUUUAUUUUGAUUGCAUUUUCUUUCUUUAUUUUUUGGUACUGGGGAUUGAAACCUGGGGUGCUUACCAACUGAGCCACAUCACGGCCUUUUGGGGGGGGGAGUCUAGAAACAGGAUCUUGCUGAAUUGCUUAGGGUCUCCUUAAGUUUUGUUUUGGUACCAGGCAUUGAACUCAGGGGUACUCCACUACUGAGCUACAUCUCCAGCCCUAUUUUGUAUUUUAUUUAGAGACAGGGUCUCACUGAGUUGUUUAACACCUCACCUUUGCUGAGGCUUCACCCAGUUUUUUUUUUUUUUUUUCUUAUUUUAGUUGAACAUGGACAUAGUACCUUUGUUUUACUUAUUUAUUUAUUUUAUGUGGUGCUGAGGAUCGAACCCAGUGCUCCACAUGUGCAAGGCAAGUGCUCUACCACUGAGCCACAACCUCACCUAGUUUUUGAGGCUGGCUUUGAACUUGUGAUCCUGCAUCAGACCCUGCCAUCUGCAGGGUGGGGGGAUGGCCUGGCCAGGCAGGCUGCUUUGGGAUUACAGGCUGUGCCCUGAUUGUGUAAUACUUUUCAAAUGAACUGUAUUUACCAUUCUGUGCAUGCUUGUUCAUCUUUAAAAUGGAUUUAAUAAUUCCAACUUCAUAAAGUAUGAGGAUUACAUGAGUUAAUAUGGCAUAUACUUUGAACAGUAGCUGGCCAAAUAGUAAACACUCAAUGCUUUUACUUGGUAAGCACCUAACAAGUAUAAGCUUAUUAUUUAUUAUGGUACUAAACUUCAGAGUUUUGUUAUCAAGGAACUAAGGGUUGGUAGGAGACAGCCUACCAACCAAUGAAUAAAAUGCAGAAGUAGAAUUGUGCCCAAGUGCCCAUGUAGGAAAGCAGGGUGCGGCUGGGCCAUUCCAGAGGGUACCAUUCACAGACUGAUAGUAAUUUAUGAAGGAGUGUAAGCCUGAGAAGAUGAUUUUUAGUUGAAAGAAUAGUGUAUGCAAAGAGCCCAUUUUGGAAUUAACCUGUGGUUUGUUUCUGCUGUUGUAUAAAGUCAAGGAGGGAGUAUUAGAAUGUGAGAUUCUGUGGGGUCAAGUCUGUCACACUUUUCAGAGGAGGAACUAAGAUUCAGGAGUCAGCAUCAGUAACAGGAUUAGAGUUGGUAUUAUGAUCAUAAACACAAUAAUUAUACAUUAAUGAAGUUGUUUAUAUUAUAUACCCAGUACUGUGCAGCACUUUUCCUCAGAAGAGUAGGUGGUCCUGAGUGUAAUAUUAUUCAUGCUGUUCAAUAAGCAUUUUAUGAAUUAGUAGCUCAGAAAUUAGGCUGUUUGUAAGUGUGGAGAACAGUAUAUAGUAGAAGUAGUUGAGAAUGGGAGGAGGAGGAAUGUAAAAUUCAAAAUUAAUUUUGUGUGGAAUAUAUCUACCCAAAUUCGGAUUGAACAGCCCUGGUUUGAAAAAGCAAAAUGCUUCAAAGUCCAAAAAUUUUUUGUUGCAUGCUGACCUGAGACCACAAAUGGAAAAUUACAUACCUUGAAACUUUGUUUCAUGUGUGAAAUUACUGGAAAAUAUAUAAGAUUACCUUCAGACUAUAUUUAAAAUUAAUUUCCUGUUUUGUCUAGGACCCCAUCCAAAUUCAUUAUGUAUAUCCAAAUAGUCUAGAAUCAAAAAAUAAAAUAAAACACUUUUGGCCCCAAGCAUUUUGUGUAAGGGGUACACAAUUUAUAUGUAACUUAUGUGUACAUAUGUGUAUAUAUAAAUUUAUAUUUGUUUUUAGAGACUAUUCUGCAUGGCACUAAGAAUAGGCAUAUAUAAACAAGAUAUAACUAUAAAGCUCUUAUUAAAAGAACUAAAAUUGUAUUUUAAGUGUAUUUUAUUCCUUAGCAGAAUUCAUUAUUCAUGUGACUUAAAUAAUCUGUUUUGCACAUUUUAAAAUAGGCUGGUACAUUGUCAGUAAAAAUGAAAAAUGAAGCCCAUGGUAUCUCCAUAUCAUGAAUUCUGUCUUAAUAGUAUUAUAAAAGGAAGUGCUAAUUUAAGUAUUUUCAUAAGUUAUGUGCUUUUUUCUUUUUUCUACAGUAUUUGUAAAUAACUUAAAACUUACAUCUUUUGCUCAGAUUUCACCUGUUAACCUUUCAUUUUAUUGUUUUUAUCUCCCCCCAUGUAUAAAUUGUAUACAUUAUGACUUUUUACUUCUAAAAUGAUCAGUGUGUAUUUUCUAGGAAUAGAGAUAUUCUCUUGACAAACCACAGUACAGUUUUUAAUUUCAGUAGAUUUCAAAUUGAUAAGACAAUUUUGUAUAAUCUACUGCCCAUAUUCCACUUAAUGUCAUUUGACCCAUUAAUGAGCCUUAUAGCAUUUGUCUCCCUCCAGUACAAAAUUCAAUUCAGAAUCCAGUCCAGGCUAGGUGUUGCACUUUUAUUUUUCUGUAGCUUCAUUUAAUCUGGAACAUUUCUACAGUUAACCAUUUUUUUUUAAACUUGCAUUUUUUAUGUACCAUUUUUAAAAUUUUUAAGAAAAAUUUUUAACUUUUUUCCCUUUGUUACAUUUUCCUAGUGUGAGCAAAGAAAUAUUAUUUUUCCCCUAUUAAUGUGGUGUAUUAUGUUAAUUGAUUUCUCAUCACUGAGCCAAUAUUGGAUUGUGGGACAAAUCCCUCUUGGUUAUGGUUUAUAAUAAUCCUUUUUAUGUUACAGAAUUCAGUUUGCUGGUAUUUUGUUGAGGAAUUAUGCAUCUUAUUCAGGUGGAGUUUUCUAGUUAUGCUUAUCUAGUUUUGGUAGCAGGGCUUCAUAGAAUUGAGUUGGGAAGAUUUCUUCUAUUUUUGGGGGAAGAGUUCAUAAAAAAAAAAAAUUGGCAUUUUUUUCUGUAAAUGUUUGGUAGAAUUAGCCAGCGAAGCCAUCUGAGCAUGGAUUUUUUUUCUUAGUAGCUUUUCUAUCUUCUAAUGGCUAUUCAGCUCUUAAGUCAGUUUUCGAAGUUUGUUUCUUGGAAUUUGUCCAUUUCUUCUAAGUUGUCCUAAUGUAUUUGUAUAUAGUUGUUGAUGAAAUUCUUCUAUGAUUUUUAUUUCUGUAAGGUAGUGUACAUAGUAAUAUCCUGUUUUAAUUUCUGAUUUAUCUUUUCUUUUUUUUUUUUUUUUUUUUUUUUUUUGUUUUUUUUUUUUAAAUGUUUGCCAUUUUGAUUUUACCAAAGGACCAACUUUCAUUAAUUUCUCUAUAUUUAAUAUUCUCUACUUUAUUAAUUUCUUCUAAUGUAAUUUCUUUGCUUCUGGAUUGCUUUAGCUAUGGUUUUAUUUUUCCAUUAUCUAAAGGUGGGAGGUUAGGCUAUAUUGAUUUGAGAUUUUUUUUUUUUUUUGUAUAACAUAUUUUCAGAUAUUUCCCUCUGAGCACUCCUUUCAUUGCAUCCUAUAAGUUUUCAUAUGUUAUGUUUUCAUUUUCACUUAUCUCAAAAGUGUUUUUUGAUUGGGACUUUUUUCUUUGAUCAGAUUCCAUUGUUUUUAAAAAGUCGUUAGAACAUCUACCUUUUAAAUGUCUUAGGGCCUUCACUAUAGGAGAUCGGAGCCUAGGAAUUCCUUGAGCCCAGUUUUAUUCUUCUGUACAUGUUUCUGUCCCUCUCUGUCCUCAUCUAUACCUCCUGAAAAUAAUUUUCAAAUCAAGCAUUGUAAGGGAAAAGUCCUUAGUGGCAGCUAGUUGUUGGGGUAUGUUUAAAAGGCAGAUCCUGGUGAGCCAUCCUGUUGGGUAUAGCUAAUGGCAUGAAAAAAUUACUUAAAUUUGAGGUUUGACAAGAGUUUAUGAACUACGGACUAAAAUUGGGUUUGGAAGAGAUCUUACAGCUUAUGAAGUCCAAUCUCUAUCCAAUAUUAGUGUCUCUUUUAAAUAUAUCUUGACAGAUGGUUAUCUAGCUUAUACUACAGUUCCAAGGCUAAUACUUCUAUCUGCUUUAGAUGAAAUUAUAGUGAGCCUGCUCAUCAAAUUGUGGAAGAUUUGAGAAAAGCACCAAAGCAAUAAAAUUGGAAUCUUAAACAUCUUGGCAAAAUGCAACAAUGGGUUGAAUCUAACAAGAUGACUUAAAACUAAAAAAUCCUUUUUAAGUCCUGAACAAGUGUAUAUUCCCUUCCACCCAACCCCCAAAUUACCAAAAAGCCAUACAGAGAUGGAGCAGGGAGAGGUGGAAUUGUCCUAAUAGUAUACCUGCAUAAGUCUUAAAAGUUUUAAUUGAUCAUAAAUUUUAUCUGAAUUGGUAGUGUAAAAGUGGUGCUAAUUUAGAAGAGCCAAAAUGUCAUGUGAGGAAUCAUUAAACAGUUUUUCAGCUAUGAAAAAGAUGAGCCAGUGAGCAUGAUAGCAGCCUUCCAACAUCUGAAGGAUUGACUUGAGAAAUUAGAUUUGGGUAUGUUUGUUUUGGUUUUGUUGUAUGCUUUUGUUUUUGCCUCCAGUGGUUGAAACUAGAACCAUUUGUCAAGUCCUUCUUUCUUCAAAAGUACUCUGAGGUGGGUAUAAUAUUUAUAUCAUAGUAUAAAAGAUGAUAAUUGGUAGAUGUGGCUUCAAAAGAACUUAUAAUUUUGUUGGGAGAUAGUGGAAAGCUGCUUUCAAAGGAGAAAGAAAUCACAUCUGAUUAGAGAAUCAAGAAGAGAAUUCUUGGAAGAAAUUAACCUUUGAAUUGAGCCUUUUAGGAUAGGUAUAAUUUCUUUUCCUUUUUUCUUAGUAUGAAAAUGCUUCAUCAUUAUAGAAAAUUUCCCAAAACUCGAGAGUUUAAACAAGCAAACAGAAAAAAUCCAGUUAAAUGGAGGUAGUCUGUAAUAAGUUUAGUGGCAAGGAAAUGGAGUGUGUGAAAUGACUAAUGUAAAAGAUGACAGAUAGUAGCUAGAGUUGGGUAUGUAGAAUGUGGAAGUAAGAGGUUUGCUUUUUGUUCGAACUUUUUAAUUUUAUAAAAAUUUGGAACUUCUCUCAUGUUAAAGAUUUCUAAAAUACGAAUCUGAAGCACAUGAUACAGGUACAUAGUUUUUAAAAAGUCAAAUAAUUACCAGGCUUUUAUAAUGAAAAAUAUCCCUGCAGAAAGUCUUCUUGACCUUUCCUCAUUCUCUGGAGGUUAACUCCUUUCAACCUUUACCUGUUUCUCCUGUUAUUUAAUAUCAUGUUUUCUGAUAACUUGCCCUGCUACUGUUUUUUGAUAUGCCAGUUUAGAUAUUGUUGUUUUUGUGUUUUUGGCACUGGGAAUUGAAUCCAGGGGCACUUUACCACUUAGCUAUAUCUCCAGCCCUUUUCAUUUUGGGACAGGGUGUAAGUUGCUCAGAGCUUUGCUAAAUUGCUGAGGCUGGCCUUGAACUUGUGGUCUUCCUGCCUCAGCCUCUUGAGUUGCUGGGAUCACAGGGGUGUGCCACCAUAGCUCGCAUCCAGUUUCAGAUACAGUUAAUAGAUUUCCUACUAUGAAAUGUAUAAGACUCUCAUUCUAACAUCUCCCAAAAUCCACACUUAAUUACCUAUACCAUACUACAAAACAUUUUAUCAAGUUUGUUAAUUUGUAUUCAAUAUUUUCAUUAUUACUGCUAUGUAAAUAUUAUGGCAUUAAUUAUACUUACUUUAUUAUAUAUUUUUUUCCAAUUUAGAUGAUUUUUUUUCACAUUCUUCAACUUAAUCCAGUUUUAUGUCACAAAACUUUGUAGUUCUCUUUAAAAAAAAAUCUAGAUCAUCACUUUUGGGCUCUCAAUUACAUGGCCAUGUUUUUGCUCUCUAUAAUUGACUUUCAGAUUGAAAUUGAGAACAUUUCAGAUAACUGAUUAUUAGUGUAACAUUUUAAUAUUUAAAAGAGCUGUAAAAUCUAUAUUACCUCGUAACAUUCUUAAUUUGUUUUAUGAGUUACUUAAUAAGUAUCAACAUAUAUAUACAUUUUACACUUAUUCUGUAAUUAAAUAAUAAACAAUAUUUAUAUUUGAUUUUAUAGGUAGCUACAUCAAGCUGGGUGGCAGGCAGAUCCAAAGGAUAUCAUGAAGUUUCCAGGAUCUUUGGAAAACCAGAGAUUGUCUUUCCUAUUGGAAAAGGCAAUCUCUAGGGAAGCCCAGAUGUGGAAGGUGAAUGUGCCGAAAAUAUCUACAAAUCAGGUAAUGACUUCUCUGUUUAGAUAGAUGAGUUUUAUUAGAGAUAAGUACACUAGU